GCUCCCCAACGCGCUUGGCAGCAGACCCGAAAGUGGAUCAGAAGCACUUCCGAUCCACUUCUGGAUUCACCAUCGAGCACGUGGAGGGCCCCCCGCACUCCUGUGGGACGCUCCGUAUGUCCCAGCAUCGUAGUAAUUACAAGCUGCGUCUGGUACCUCAAGGUAUGUAGAAAAAACAGUUAAAGCUGUGUCUGUCCGAAUUGCUGAUUCUCUGAAUCAACAUCAAACCUUCGGAUUCAGAUUUGGUUGAAUUGAAUCAGGGACAGUGAUCUGAAUCAACGAAUCAAAUCACCGUUCCUGAUUUGGGCCGAAUCCAAAUCGAAUAGGGCCCGCUUUGCACACCCCUAGUCUCUACCUCAUGCACAAUAACAUUCCUACAAAAGCCUCUUUUUCCACGCACGUUUCAACAGCAGCAUGAGCUGUGGCAAGAAAGAGCCUAGUCCUGCUCCAUGGUGUCAGGGAAAGAGCUAGUCUUGAUUUCAGUGCGAGUAAACCUGGACCCCAUCCCUCUAGUCUACAAUCAGGUGACUGUCAGUAUGGCUUUUCUGGCUCAAAGUCCCUAGCAGAGAUGCAGCUUUCACUGGCAAAUGCUCCUUGGUCAAUUAACUUAACUUUAAGCACACCUCUUAAUCACAACCUGCUGGAGACAAGCUCUCUUUUGCCUUUUCCAUUUGCAUUUACAUCAGGAAUGUUACCAGCACAGCUAUGUUGAUUAUUUUUUUUUUUUCUUUGCCAGGUGUGACAAUUACUCAUAAUCUUUGUCAAGAUAGGUAUGCUGGCAAAUCUGUGCAGGAGGCUACUCCGGGAAGUGGAAGGGACUUUCAGGUGGACAUAAGCCAGACUCUCUCUCUCGCGUUACACAGCCAAACAAAAACAAGAAACAAAGUGGAGCCAUGUUUGCUUUCAUUAGUAUGCUAGCACCUUCCAUGCUUGCUACAAUAUGAGAAGUCCUCAUUUCCAUUGAUUUGUUGCGUAUUAGUGAAGUAGAAAUAAAUGAGGUUCUCUGUGCAGCAUGAAUUUGAGUAGUCCAAGGGCCUGACCAAGGUCCUCUUUAUGCUGUGAUCCUACUAAAUAACAAACUGACAUGGAUCCCAAGGUGAGACUCUGGCAAUAUUGGGUGGAAACAGCAAUGUUAUGUAAAGAAAGUCCAGAACAUCUGCAGAGAAGUAGGAAUGAGCUGUAGCAUGAUCCCUCACUACUACUUUAUUUUUUAAAAAUCACCUUUUACAUUAAAAUGCGUACCUGGUAAAAAGGAUUUACUGAACUAUUUUAAUAUUCAGUAGAAGAAUCUGUUUUCAUUGGAAUAUUCAGAUUUUCUCGUGAAAGACCUGGCUCCCCACCCACAAAUAUUGAAUAUAUAUGUGCAUGUGUAUGUAUAUAUGAAUGUGUGUGUCUAUGUCGCAUGCAACCCAUUUAGAUCAAGAGUACUGGGGAUACUGUUUUUACCAUGCAGAGUUAAAAACAAAAUCAAAAUGUGGUUAUGCCCUGUAAGAAUUCCAAAAUGGGCUAAUCUUACCCUGGGACUUGUAAGUGGAAUUGAUUAGAUUUGGUGUUGUGACACUUUUUCUUUUUGCUGAUAAGUGUGUGUUCCUUCCUUCAAGACUGCACAGAGAAAAUAUGCAAAGAGAUCACAGGUACCCUUGUUGCAAGACUUUUUUUCUCAGGCCCUGUAGAUUCCUUUGCUGACAUCAUUUUUCAUGCAUAUAUACUAUGAGUUUAGAUGCAAACUCAUAGUAGCUGGAGUUCACUGGAGUCUGCUCCUGCUCCCAUUAUAUCAGUAGAAAAUUGCUUUUCUCUUCAGGGAGAACCAAACUUAUCCUCUAGAGUAAGAACUUGCUCUAAACUCAAGCAUCACAUUUCAUUCUUGCUUCAGAGUAAAAUAAGGGCCUCAUUAUACAUGAAUUUUAGGCACCUCCUAGAGCCCUAAACCCUUGGAUUGUCUGUAUAUUAACACCUGACACUAGUUGUAAAUACAUUUUAGGAUGCUUAAAGCUAUGCUUCUGCAGGGCAGAUUUAUCCCCAAUCUGUGUAUCCCAGCUCCUUUUCCAUUUCUGUGCAGCCAGUCCGACAGAUGAGCUGCCAAGAUUGCAUCCUGGGAUGCUGGAGGACUGCAGUGCUACAGGUGGGGGACAGUCAGGGCAGGUUUUCAGCCUUAAGGUGUGACUGAUCCAAACUCAAGUUAGCACUGAGCAAAACACAAACAGCUCAACGUGCAACAAGGACGAAAAAUAGCUUUUAAGACUGUUUUCCCUCAUGCUCUUUCCUCAGUAAUUGUUCAUCAGUUCAAACAAAGACCAUGUUGUCGUUUGUUGGUGUUGUUUUUGUGGGUAGAGGGCUGGUAACUUCCCUAACUAAUAAUACAUUCUCAGGGCACAGUUGAUGAUAAUCUAGAAAAACAUUUCUAAGUACUCAGAUUUUCAAAGAACAGCUAGUAUAUCAAUUUUUUAAUCCCCUGGCUACCUGUAGCCAAAUGUAUUUCCCACAGGACAUUCCUCUGUGAUACGUGCUACAGUUUGAAUCUCAGCACACUCACACUUGGCAUCUUUAAUAAAAUUCCAUUUGCAAAGUACCUAGUUGUCCACCUUAUUGAACAUAGUCGAGCCCUGCCUUGGUAAAGCAAAGCCAGGAGAUUUAGAUGUGGGGUUCAUGAUAAGAAAUGUAUUAAUGAGGUCAGUUGUCUUGCAUCGCUGGGUCCAUUUUCCUCGAUAUCAAAGUUUUCAUGAUUCAGUUCUUUUCCCACACUCCAAAUCACCUUCUUUGACAUAAGUCUUGGCAUAUGGGAAUCAUCAAGUUCCUCAAAAAUUGGUAGUGAAUUGAAUACAGGCAGGUUUUUUUUUAGACUCUAGCUCCCUCCACACACAGGAUAGCAGAGUUCAUGUGAAAUAGGGCUGCUCAGUCAUAAGUGCAGCUGCCUAAUCGCACACCUGCCCCAGGUCCAUGUACAAAAUAACCAUCACACAGUCAUUGUCUCUGUAAACGCAGGUCUGUGACUAGGGGCAGGUCCAUGGCUAGGGGCUUCUGGUAAUCAUGUAUCUGCUCUCCACCUUGCCAACACAGGUGAUCCUAGCAGAAGUACAGAACCACAGACAGCAUCGCUCUCAAUGUCAACAAUAGCAGACAAGCCUCUCUCCAUCCCAUCACAGUUGCGAUCCUUGUGAGGAUGCCUUGGGAGGACAGGCCUCUGCCUAUGAGAGCAAACAAUAAUAGAGAACAAAAGGCCUGUGUGAGUGAAAUCCCUUGUGAUUUCCGGUUCAGGGCAAUGAAGACCCUUCUGCAAGGCACUUGGGUGGGCUAGUUCUGUGCAGCUUUCUCCACGUAGCCAUUCUUAGUAGCCAGCGUACUGCAGACUACAUGCACACAGACACUUUGCCCAUCACUCUAAGCUUUGGGAAAGGAUCUUGUGGGUUGGGGCUUUCAGAAGGAGAGGCCAGACCUGGAGCAGGAUACUCAGCAAAAGAGAAAAAGAGAAAAACACAAGCUCUUCUCCCACUCCAGCCACAGCCUUCCCAAUGUAAGCUUUGGUUACAGCUUAAACUGUGUCCCAGUAUCCCUCCCCAGCCCAUUUGAGGGAUGAAUACCUGCCUGACUUCAGGGAGGGAAUGGCAGCAGCAGGGCUAACUGCCCCACCCAAAGCCUUGGGGCUUGAGUAGCAGCGCCCCACUAAGAUUGGGACUUUCUCAAACUCCUGAUGCAGCAAAGUGUGUAUUAGGAGAGAGCAUAACUGACAGAGGAUCAGCCUAGCCCCACUGUGCUCAUUCAAGCUCUCCAGGAUACCAGGCAAGAGCUGAGACACUGGGCAACACUCCCUCUCUCCAGCAGACUCUGUUCUUCAAGAUCCGGGGCUUGUUAAUAUGUCAGCCUAGAAAGUACUGUAGUUUUCAAAAUACAGCCUACCUGCUUCGGAAAAAAAACCCCAAACAACGUUGCUGGUAAUCCCACUGUUCAUUACAUGCAAGACAUAGGGUGAGAACAGUUCCUGCAAAAAGAAAAAGUCAAAUCUUCAUGCGAUCUAGAGGAUGCAGAGCAAUGAGCAGGCUCACACUCUUGCUGCUCCUCCCCAGUUAGGUGCUACAAGCCAAGAUCUUUUUCUCUGCAUUCUGACUUUCAAAAACAAGGUGUAUAGUAUACGUUGGUACAUGCUGUAUGCGGGGAACUAUGAUAUGCACCUUUUAGUUGCACCAUCACUGCCCUACUUGAAUGUUACUCAUUCUGUACAUGAUCCUUUCCAAAUGAAAAGACCAGUGAAAACACAAAGAGUAUUUUUGGGAAGCUUUACCUGCCAUUUUGGAACAACAACAAAAGGCAUACCCAACCUUCCCAGGCAGCCCUCCAGACAUUUUCCUACAAUUCAAAGAAGAUGGAAAGGGUUUUCAGAGUACUUAGUGUGACAGCUUGAUUGUUGGCAUGUACGCAUGGGUAGGCUUCCUCCCAUCCAGAGAACACAUCAAUAAUAACAAGAAUGUACUCAUAAGAACAGCACUUAGGUAGCAGCAAUUUAAGGUUACAUUUGCAGCUGACAGUAGAAGUUUCCUCUAUUUAGUAAGAUGGGAAUUGGAAAUGUGCUGAGUUUUGCCCUUGAGCAGAAGGGCCAUCACAGCAUGUGGAACUGCAACGGUUAAAGAGUGUCUCAAAACUAGAGAAUUUGCCUUUUCAACCAACAAGGCAGCAGCUGCAAGUGAAUGGAGGCAAGGAGGAAGUCCCGCAGCCACGGGAUCAAGGGCAGAGCUGUAUUAUGCAAUUGGGCGAUGCUUUUCACCGUGCAGCUGAGUGAGUACUCCUAAAGCGAUUUCUUCCUAUUCAUGACAAAACAAAGUAAAGGGUUUCUUAUAAUUAGGGAGUCCAAGAGCGGGAGCAACAGCAAGGGCUUGCUUAAGGGCCACAAACGCUUGUUUGGCUUCAGGAGUCCAAGGGAGGGGUUCUGGGGUGGUAUCAUGAGUAAAUGCUUGCAAGGGUUUUGCAAAAGCAGCAUAACCCAGGAUCCACUGUCUACAAUAACCCGUUGCACCUAAGAAUCCCCUCAUCUGUUUUCUAGUCAUAGGUUUGGGAAUGUUGAGGAUAGCUUCAACUCUACUAGGGCUUCUCUGGUUUUUCUGCUGCUUCUGAUACAGAAACCAGUGACCAGCAAAACCAUCUCGCACGUGUUCCUUUUUGGGGUUUUUUGUUUUGUUUUGGUUUUUUUGGGGGGGGAGAUCUGUGUUUUCAAAUGUCUGAUUGCAUAAGGGCCUUGAAUGCUGUAUUGUAGUGAUCUUAAAUGAAGGGCAGCAGUCAUGCAACCGAGUUGCAAUAGGUUUAACCCAGUCAACUCAGUGCCUUAAAAUAUUUUGAGGAAAGGAUUCCUUAGGGUGAUAUCUUUUAUUGAAGCAAUUGCAUAGUUGGGAUAGUGUUAGAUAAGCUUUCGAAUGCAGGACAUUCUUCUUCAGGUGGCAUGUUUUGGAAAUAAUAUAAAUGCUAUCUUUUGUGGUUUAAAACAACCUGAAACUAUUGGGAGACUCUGAUUGGAUGUAGCUUAUCCACAUCCUCUCCCUAUUGGGUUUUAUUUUACUUGUCUUUGAAGCUUCUAGUGUUGACCACGGUUUCAUUCAAGAUACCAAAUCACCUGGUUCACAAGUCUGAUCUAGUGUGGCAAUUCCUGUAACUUGUCUGAAUGCUAUUUCUAGUGCAACUGCUUAAUUUGAAGGCUUGUGAAGCUAUGAUUUCAGUAUAAAUCCCAUCAGCUUUGCCAUUCAUUCAGCUUACCCAUCUUUUCACUCCCUCUUGUUCAGGUUCAAGAGCGGUUUGUGGCUCAUGGAAAUGACAGACUCAAGCUGAUUGUAUUACUGUGUAGUGAGGAUGAUGAGACGGUCCAGAAAGCAGCUGCGGGAGCUUUGGCCAUGCUGACAGCAGCACAGAAGAAACUCUGCUAUAAAAUGACUCAAGUGACAAUUCAGUGGCUGGAAAUCCUGCAGAGGCUCUGCUUGCAGGACAGUGUGGAUGUUCAGCACCGUGGGCUGGUUGUUGCUUACAACCUAAUCAGCGCUGACAAAGAACUCGCCAAAAAGUUGGUAGAGAGUGAGCUCCUGGAGAUCCUGACAGUCGUUGGCAAACAAAAAGAUGACCCCAAAAUACAGCAUGCUCUUGACGCAGCUCGUGAGUGCCUUGUGAAGUGCAUGGACUAUGGGCUGAUCAAACCGCUGUCACGGGCAUGAGGACAUCAUUGUCUAUUGAGAAACGGCAAGGAAAGGGAGGCCACCAGGAGGUCUGGAAGUCUUCCAGACCUGCAUAAGGACACUCAGUCCCAUGGCCAAGGCUUUACUGAGCACUGGCUUUGUGUGUUUUGUCCUGAAAGAAGGUAAAACUUAAUGAUAUCUAGGUACUGCAAAUACCUUCAGUGCCAGGAUGCAGCAAAUUUCCACUGAAAGAAGCAAUAUGGGAAGCACAUUGAAAAGCUGCUGCUUCAGGAAGUCUCAAAAAGGAUACAGAGAAUGAGUGGACUGUUUUCACAAAUGAAAAUUCUUUAUUUCAGCAAUUCCUAGCAAUGGAAGAACAAGCACUAGGUUUUAUUUCCUCACAUCAGAUGUUCAGAAACUAGUUCAGAUUUGUUAUUUAAAAAUGAUUGUUUCUUCUUUUGAAUUGGAAUGCAGGCAUUUAGCAUGCGAGAGCACUGGGUGGAUUCAUAAUAAACAGCAUCUUUGCUCUGUG